GAUGAACGCUGACAGAAUGCUUAACACAUGCAAGUCAACUUGAAUUUGGGUUUUUAACUUAGGUUUGGGUGGCGGACGGGUGAGUAACGCGUAAAGAACUUGCCUCACAGGUAGGGACAACAUUUGGAAACGAAUGCUAAUACCUAAUAUUAUGAUAAUAGGGCAUCCUAUAAUUAUGAAAGCUAUAAGCGCUGUGAGAGAGCUUUGCGUCCCAUUAGCUAGUUGGAGAGGUAACGGCUCACCAAGGCGAUGAUGGGUAGCCGGCCUGAGAGGGUGAUCGGCCACAAGGGGACUGAGACACGGCCCUUACUCCUACGGGAGGCAGCAGUGGGGAAUAUUGGACAAUGGACCGAGAGUCUGAUCCAGCAAUUCUGUGUGCACGAUGAAGUUUUUCGGAAUGUAAAGUGCUUUCAGUUGGGAAGAAAAAAAUGACGGUACCAACAGAAGAAGUGACGGCUAA
rnacentral:rRNA from 1 species